GACGAACGCUGGCGGCGUGCUUAACACAUGCAAGUCGAACGGAAAGGCCCUUCGGGGUACUCGAGUGGCGAACGGGUGAGUAACACGUGGGUGAUCUGCCCUGCACUUUGGGAUAAGCCUGGGAAACUGGGUCUAAUACCGAAUAGGACCACGCGCUUCAUGGUGUGUGGUGGAAAGCUUUUGCGGUGUGGGAUGGGCCCGCGGCCUAUCAGCUUGUUGGUGGGGUAAUGGCCUACCAAGGCGACGACGGGUAGCCGGCCUGAGAGGGUGACCGGCCACACUGGGACUGAGAUACGGCCCAGACUCCUACGGGAGGCAGCAGUGGGGAAUAUUGCACAAUGGGCGCAAGCCUGAUGCAGCGACGCCGCGUGAGGGAUGACGGCCUUCGGGUUGUAAACCUCUUUCAAUAGGGACGAAGCGCAAGUGACGGUACCUAUAGAAGAAGCACCGGCCAACUACGUGCCAGCAGCCGCGGUAAUACGUAGGGUGCGAGCGUUGUCCGGAAUUACUGGGCGUAAAGAGCUCGUAGGUGGUUUGUCGCGUUGUUCGUGAAAACUCACAGCUUAACUGUGGGCGUGCGGGCGAUACGGGCAGACUAGAGUACUGCAGGGGAGACUGGAAUUCCUGGUGUAGCGGUGGAAUGCGCAGAUAUCAGGAGGAACACCGGUGGCGAAGGCGGGUCUCUGGGCAGUAACUGACGCUGAGGAGCGAAAGCGUGGGGAGCGAACAGGAUUAGAUACCCUGGUAGUCCACGCCGUAAACGGUGGGUACUAGGUGUGGGUUCCUUCCUUGGGAUCCGUGCCGUAGCUAACGCAUUAAGUACCCCGCCUGGGGAGUACGGCCGCAAGGCUAAAACUCAAAGGAAUUGACGGGGGCCCGCACAGGCGGCGGAGCAUGUGGAUUAAUUCGAUGCAACGCGAAGAACCUUACCUGGGUUUGACAUGCACAGGACGCCGGCAGAGAUGUCGGUUCCCUUGUGGCCUGUGUGCAGGUGGUGCAUGGCCGUCGUCAGCUCGUGUCGUGAGAUGUUGGGUUAAGUCCCGCAACGAGCGCAACCCUUGUCCUAUGUUGCCAGCGGGUUAUGCCGGGGACUCGUAGGAGACUGCCGGGGUCAACUCGGAGGAAGGUGGGGAUGACGUCAAGUCAUCAUGCCCCUUAUGUCCAGGGCUUCACACAUGCUACAAUGGCCGGUACAAAGGGCUGCGAUGCCGUGAGGUGGAGCGAAUCCUUUCAAAGCCGGUCUCAGUUCGGAUCGGGGUCUGCAACUCGACCCCGUGAAGUCGGAGUCGCUAGUAAUCGCAGAUCAGCAACGCUGCGGUGAAUACGUUCCCGGGCCU
rnacentral:rRNA from 1 species